rnacentral:rRNA from 1 species
UACGUAGGGUCCGAGCGUUGUCCGGAAUUAUUGGGCGUAAAGGGCUCGUAGGCGGUCUGUCGCGUCGGGAGUGAAAACUUACAGCUUAACUGUGAGCGUGCUUCCGAUACGGGCAGACUUGAGGUAUUCAGGGGAGAACGGAAUUCCUGGUGUAGCGGUGAAAUGCGCAGAUAUCAGGAGGAACACCGGUGGCGAAGGCGGUUCUCUGGGAAUAUCCUGACGCUGAGACGCGAAAGCGUGGGGAGCAAACAGG